CGAGGUGUGUAGGUUGGCCUUUAAAUGGUGGAAGGUGUCAGCGGGGGACCCGCGUCCUGAGGCAGAGAUGAGCAGGGACAUCUGUCAUUGGAUUUAUGACCCAACUGAAAGUCCAGGGGAUUUCAUCUCAAGAUCCUAAAACUAACGGCAUCUGCAAAGACCCCUCUCGAAGACCUCAGAUGGCACCAUAUCUGGAGACAGGCUCUGUACAGAGACGAUACUGCUGGAAUGAGGUCAUUAGAGUGCACUCUAUAGCAACUGGAAUGGUAGAAAGAGGAAAU